rnacentral:tRNA from 2 species
GUUUCUGUAGUGUAGUGGUUAUCACGUUCGCCUCACACCCGAAAGGUCCCCGGUUCGAAACCGGGCAGAAACA